rnacentral:lncRNA from 1 species
GUUUUCUCCAGAGCAGCAUACGCCAGGCUCUAUGGAAUGUUGGGUGAGCUGCUUGAGGACCUCCAAGGCCUGUCCCACAGUCUUCCAGCCUCCGACUCUCCGGCCCUCAGUGUGGAAGUCCCACUGGUUUUGUUUUUUGUUUGUUUGGUUUUGUUUUUUUGUUUUUGUUUUUGUUUUUUUUCUCAUUCCUGUCUUGGGAGCUUUCCCCAACCAUGAUAGUGAAGAUGGGCGGAGCUGUCACACCAGCUGUUAGCCUGCCUUGGCUGAGAGGCUAGGAGAUGAGGAGGGAGCGACCACCCAGCUUCAGUCAUUUUAAAGUAGUUCCUGACCCUAGGAGAAGGGAAAUGGAGAUGAAGACUCAAUUGACUUGGUAUGAAGUUUAAAUGCCCCUUCGAGACUCGGGGGUUGAGGACGGUGAGAUUGGCUCAGUGGAUAGAUUCACUUGCCUCUAUGCCUGACAACCCAAGUUAAUAUCCUCUACCCACACAUGGAAGGAAAGAACUGAUUUCCAAAAGUUGUCCUCUGACCUCCACACAGAGACCAUGGCCUGUGCACCACCCCCCGAAAAUGUAAUAUAUUUUUUAAAAAGACAUGGGGACUUCCAUUCAAUGUCUCCCAAUGUUUGGGGAUUUCCUUUCCUUAUUCCCUUACUCCCUGUCGGUACCCUAGAGGAGGCAGAGUGAGUCUAACUACGGAGAGGGCAUCCUCUAGGUUGUCUGGUGGAACAUUCAGGACUCCUGGGAAGGCUCCAACUGG